rnacentral:rRNA from 1 species
GACGAACGCUGGCGGCGUGCUUAACACAUGCAAGUCGAACGGAAAGGCCUCUUUCGGGGGGUACUCGAGUGGCGAACGGGUGAGUAACACGUGAGUAACCUGCCCUUGACUUUGGGAUAACUUCAGGAAACUGGGGCUAAUACCGGAUAGGAGCUCCUGCUGCAUGGUGGGGGUUGGAAAGUUUCGGCGGUUGGGGAUGGAUUCGCGGCUUAUCAGCUUGUUGGUGGGGUAGUGGCUUACCAAGGCUUUGACGGGUAGCCGGCCUGAGAGGGUGACCGGCCACAUUGGGACUGAGAUACGGCCCAGACUCCUACGGGAGGCAGCAGUGGGGAAUAUUGCACAAUGGGUGGAAGCCUGAUGCAGCAACGCCGUGUGCGGGGUGACGGCCUUCGGGUUGUAAACCGCUUUCGCUCAUGACGAAGCUUUGUGUGACGGUAGUGGGUAAAGAAGCACCGGCUAACUACGUG